rnacentral:rRNA from 1 species
AUGCUCAAUCUCCCCGACAUUCAGAAGUUAAAUCUCAGAUGCAGUGCCUGGAUUAUGAGUAGGGUUAGUGUUAGUCGUAGAGAGUUAAGGCUAUCAGAAAGUAAGGUGCUCAAGUUCUAUGCUGAGGAUGUCUUUAAGGUCUUUGGCAUCCCUUGCGAGAACCGUAGCAUGAAAGGGAGAGAUGCAAAUAUCAAUCCAGAAGCAAUCCACUUCAUCAAGUCAACCCUUGAAAUGAAUAAGACAGGAGUGCAUAGCUUGCGCGUGGCAGAACAAUUCCUGAUGCAUGAUAUUAAUGAGAAUUCUAGCAAGCUCGAGAAAGAUUAUUUUCAAAUUGCAUUUGUCAUAUUUGUCAUGGGGCAUGUACUCGCUCCGACCACGAAGCACAACUACUCGACCAUUGAUUUCUGGGGGGCAAUUGCCAACACUGAAAUGAUACAACAGUUCAACUGGUGUGAGUAUGUCCUCCAGCAUUUGCUCGACACAGUACGAAAACUCAAGAGAGAUAUGAUGAUGAACAAUCAUUCAACCAACCUCACCGGAUGUCAUUUCUUCUUUCAGGUUUUUCUGCUCGACAAUCUUGAUCUUGGUAUAUUGAAUAAGCCACACAAUGUACUACCAAGGAUCAUUGACUUCGACCCGGAUACACUAAACAAAAUGCUCAUCAUGGCUCUUGACCCAGUAAAGGGAUCUAUGUCAUAUUCCCAUGCAAACCUCCGAGACCCGGCGAAUGUUUGUUAUGUGCGACACAAGGUUCAGUACACAAUUCCGUCGUCUUCCACCACCAAGCAAUUGCCAAGGGCUGGGACCACUCCACGCUCUGCAAAAACUCCCACAACAGAAUCUCCUUGUCCUGGUACUGGUUGCCGUCAGGAGAACUUUGCGACUCCAAACACAAUGCCACGUGUAGUAGGGCCUUUGGACCUUGCCAACUUCUUGCGGCAGCAGUACCCACACCUCGUGACUGAUGAGAUAACCAUGAUCAUGAAACAGCAGAAUGCCAGCUCAAUUAGGCGUUUGACAGAAGCAUCCAACGCCAUCCAAGUGGUUCUAUCGCAGGCAAAAAAUGCAUUGCAGUCAGAUAUGCUCAACUAUUCAGAGAAAAUUCUGAAAUCAAUUUCAGGUCGGCGCCUUUGCUGUCGUACGCGAGGGUUCACAGAGUGUCAUGCAUCAGGUGCCGCUACUGCCAAGAAUGUAUGUUUCAGCACUCCUGUUGGGCAAAGAAUCCAGGGGCACAUGCUUGAUUUGUCUGAUGGAGAAGCUAUGUCACCGCUUAACCAGGGUGGAUCAUCAAGGAAACGAAACGCAAGCAAUGAGGACUCUGCAUCCGCAAGAAAAAAAUUGAUUUCAGAAUCAUCCAUUGUGAUUAACUACUUCAAAGACACCAUUCGCGAAGUUGCACAAAUGUAUGCUGAUCUCCCAGCGAAGACAACCGUUGCGUGUUUGGCCAAACCCAGGGCAUUAUGUUAUCCACCACUCCCCCAGACUUGUCAGUGUUACAGGGAUCGCUAUGUUUCAUCAGCUCAUUGGCAGUCGGAGUCUCGAUCACGAACUUGCUUCCAUUAUAUGUAG